CCUACGGGAGGCAGCAGUAGGGAAUCUUCCACAAUGGGCGAAAGCCUGAUGGAGCAACGCCGCGUGGGUGAAGAAGGUCUUCGGAUCGUAAAACCCUGUUGUUAGAGAAGAACGUGCGUGAGAGUAACUGUUCACGUUUCGACGGUAUCUGACCAGGAAGCCACGGCUAACUACGUGCCAGCAGCCGCGGUAAUACGUAGGUGGCAAGCGUUAUCCGGAUUUAUUGGGCGUAAAGGGAACGCAGGCGGUCUGUUAAGUCUGAUGUGAAAGCCUUGGGCUUAACGGGGGUAGUGCCUUGGAAACUGGGAGACGUGAGUGCGGGAGAGGAUAGUGGAACUCCAUGUGUAGCGGUGAAAUGCGUAGAUAUAUGGAAGAACACCAGUGGCGAAAGCGGCUCUCUGGUCUGUAACUGACGCUGAGGUUCGAAAGCGUGGGUAGCAAACAGGAUUAGAUACCCCAGUAGUC
rnacentral:rRNA from 1 species